rnacentral:rRNA from 1 species
GAUGAACGCUGGCGGAGUGCCUAACACAUGCAAGUCGAGCGGCAGCGCGAGUAGUUUACUACUUGGCGGCGAGCGGCGGACGGCUGAGUAACGCGUGAGAACACACCCCAAAGUGAGGAAUAACUGCCCGAAAGGGUAGCUAAUGCCGCAUAUGAUCUUCGGAUUAAAGGAUUUAUCCGCUUUGGGAGUGGCUUGCGUCCGAUUAGGUAGUUGGUGAGGUAAAGGCUCACCAAGCCCACGAUCGGUAACUGGUUUGAGAGGAUGACCAGUCAGACUGGAACUGAGACACGGUCCAGACUCCUACGGGA